GUGGGGAAUCUUGCGCAAUGGGCGAAAGCCUGACGCAGCCAUGCCGCGUGAAUGAUGAAGGUCUUAGGAUUGUAAAAUUCUUUCACCGGGGACGAUAAUGACGGUACCCGGAGAAGAAGCCCCGGCUAACUUCGUGCCAGCAGCCGCGGUAAUACGAAGGGGGCUAGCGUUGCUCGGAAUUACUGGGCGUAAAGGGAGCGUAGGCGGAUAGUUUAGUCAGAGGUGAAAGCCCAGGGCUCAACCUUGGAAUUGCCUUUGAUACUGGCUAUCUUGAGUAUGGAAGAGGUAUGUGGAACUCCGAGUGUAGAGGUGAAAUUCGUAGAUAUUCGGAAGAACACCAGUGGCGAAGGCGACAUACUGGUCCAUUACUGACGCUGAGGCUCGAAAGCGUGGGGAGCAAACAGGAUUAGAUACCCGUGUAGUCC
rnacentral:rRNA from 1 species